rnacentral:rRNA from 1 species
CAGGCUUAACACAUGCAAGUCGAGGGGCAGCAUGGUCUUAUCUUGCUAAGGCCGAUGGCGACCGGCGCACGGGUGAGUAACACGUAUCCAACCUGCCGUCUACUCUUGGACAGCCUUCUGAAAGGAAGAUUAAUACAAGAUGGCAUCAUGAGUCCGCAUGUUCACAUGAUUAAAGGUAUUCCGGUAGACGAUGGGGAUGCGUUCCAUUAGAUAGUAGGCGGGGUAACGGCCCACCUAGUCUUCGAUGGAUAGGGGUUCUGAGAGGAAGGUCCCCCACAUUGGAACUGAGACACGGUCCAAACUCCUACGGGAGGCAGCAGUGAGGAAUAUUGGUCAAUGGGCGAGAGCCUGAACCAGCCAAGUAGCGUGAAGGAUGACUGCCCUAUGGGUUGUAAACUUCUUUUAUAAAGGAAUAAAGUCGGGUAUGGAUACCCGUUUGCAUGUACUUUAUGAAUAAGGAUCGGCUAACUCCGUGCCAGCAGCCGCGGUAAUACGGAGGAUCCGAGCGUUAUCCGGAUUUAUUGGGUUUAAAGGGAGCGUAGAUGGAUGUUUAAGUCAGUUGUGAAAGUUUGCGGCUCAACCGUAAAAUUGCAGUUGAUACUGGAUAUCUUGAGUGCAGUUGAGGCAGGCGGAAUUCGUGGUGUAGCGGUGAAAUGCUUAGAUAUCACGAAGAACUCCGAUUGCGAAGGCAGCCUGCUAAGCUGCAACUGACAUUGAGGCUCGAAAGUGUGGGUAUCAAACAGGAUUAGAUACCCUGGUAGUCCACACGGUAAACGAUGAAUACUCGCUGUUUGCGAUAUACUGCAAGCGGCCAAGCGAAAGCGUUAAGUAUUCCACCUGGGGAGUACGCCGGCAACGGUGAAACUCAAAGGAAUUGACGGGGGCCCGCACAAGCGGAGGAACAUGUGGUUUAAUUCGAUGAUACGCGAGGAACCUUACCCGGGCUUAAAUUGCAGAUGAAUUACGGUGAAAGCCGUAAGCCGCAAGGCAUCUGUGAAGGUGCUGCAUGGUUGUCGUCAGCUCGUGCCGUGAGGUGUCGGCUUAAGUGCCAUAACGAGCGCAACCCUUGUUGUCAGUUACUAACAGGUUCCGCUGAGGACUCUGACAAGACUGCCAUCGUAAGAUGUGAGGAAGGUGGGGAUGACGUCAAAUCAGCACGGCCCUUACGUCCGGGGCUACACACGUGCUACAAUGGGGGGUACAGAGGGCCGCUACCACGCGAGUGGAUGCCAAUCCCCAAAACCUCUCUCAGUUCGGACUGGAGUCUGCAACCCGACUCCACGAAGCUGGAUUCGCUAGUAAUCGCGCAUCAGCCACGGCGCGGUGAAUACGUUCCCGGGCCUUGUACACACCGCCCGUCAAGCCAUGGGAGCCGGGGGUACCUGAAGUGCGUAACCGCGAGGAGCGCCCUAGGGUAAAACUGGUGACUGG